rnacentral:lncRNA from 1 species
AGGCUAAUGGGUUCGGGAGUGUUAAAACCGCCGCCCCGCCUGGUGGUGAGCUGGGCUGUUGCAUCACAGCACACACGUGAUUGGGCUUCCUUCCAGGUCUGUGUAUGGUCAGACUCUGAGCCAGCAGCCAAGACAGUGAGCCUGGCACCCACGGUGCUCCGGUUUCCAGAAAGAAUCACGAAUACUCUUCCUGUGCAGAUAAAGGAACAAUUGUACUACAGGAGAACUUACUGGAAAGUAACGUGGGGUCACCAGGAAGGAAAAGGAAUUCACUCCUCAGUCACAGUCUUCAGUCUGGUUGGGAGUCACUCAGACUUGGAAAGGUGGACUCUGAUCCUUCUGAGGUCUUGGACUGCACUGAGCAACCUGGGGAUGCCCCGGAGCCUUUAACUCGUUACCACCCCUCACAAGUUCACCUCACCACACGCGACUAUGUGAAGCCCCAAGCUGAGGCUGCCAGCAGCUGUAAGCAAUAUGGUCUGCGUCGUUGCUCAUGGCAGGAACUUUGAGCUGGGACACAGUUUCACUCCGUAGAUGUAUUUCUCCUCUGAGGGAAGCCUAACACCCGAGCUGACCUUGCCCCCUUCUGAAAGGGAGGACCAUAUCUCACAGUGGCAACAGGAGGCUACAGGUCAGUGGGGUGAUGACCGGGCCCUCAGAGACCCUGCUCUCUCUCUUUACAAAACCCCAUAAAUCCUUCCAAAGGGAGUAAUUCCCUCAGGAUCAAGAGAGUCCUCCACAUUCCUAAAAUCAGUGAAGGCAAAAUGUACAGGGAUUUCUGAGAAAAGUAAAUGUGGUGUGAGCAUGAUCCCUGGGUGUUACUGUGCUGCAGAGAAGGCCCCCCCCUUCCCCCCCUGAAUGGUGUUCUUUGCUCUCAAGUUAACUCACGCACUGGACUUGGUCCAAGUACAUUUUGUUUCUUGAUUUCUAGCCAGGCUUCUCUCAGUUGUGGUGCAUUCUCCUCUUUGCUCCCCUCCCUCCCCCGCCCCCUUCUCUCUUUUUAUAAUUAUUUCAGCUUUUCCAUGUGACUGAACUGAUACAGAGGAAAACCCACCAGCUUAGGUAGGGCUUCCACCAGAGUGGGGCCAGAGGGACUCUGUGAACGGCCGGCCCCUCACUCAGCAAUGGCCUGCAUGGCAAGGUAUGUCUAAGAGCAGCUGAAGCAGAAAGCGUUUGAACUCUGCCCCUGCCAAAUGACUUCCAGAUGUGUAAACUCCAGCCUCCCUCUGCUCUCUGACUGUAGCCCUGCCAACAUACAUCUGCAG